UUGCUUGCAAUGUGGAUCAGGAAUAUCAGUUGCUCCAAUCAAAGCUGGUUUUGUAGCUCGCGUUGGCCGAAGAACUGCAGGGUCAUGAUUUGGCACUACUCAAAUUCUACAACUCUGCUACACCUAUUUGUUAGAGUGGGAGAAUGUUCUGUCAUGUAAGCUGAUUCUGGAACACAUGCAGGAUAUCAGUUCAGAUGUGAUUUUCUCCGGAGAUUGACGAGGUAUCGUGCUCCUCCUUUUACUCUUGCGUUCUAUGUUUGCGGCAACGUGUCCAUCGGCAUGCAUCACAUUGCUCAUCGAUAUCAAUCUUGGUGCAUAAUUCUGGCUACGGGUUGGAUUCAUGGAGCGGGUGCGUAAUUCCGUCGUUCAGUUCCUUAAAGAUAUGUAGCUCAUCAGUCAAAUGGAAGGUCCAUUUGAAAUAGACCAAGUAACCACCCUGUCAUGUUAUGUAUAUUAUCUUUGCCAUGGACAUAAACGGUUACCAUUGCGGAAGUUGUUAUGUUAUUUCAGCCAACUAUUUUCAUUGAUGCCACAACUUAAUUA